rnacentral:rRNA from 1 species
GACAGAGGUGCCAAGCGUUAGGCGGAAUCACUGGGCUUAAAGCGUGUGUAGGCGGAAUGGUAAGUACCUUGUGAAAUCCCACGGCUCAACCGUGGAACUGCUGGGUAUACUGCUUUUCUUGAGUCACUUAGGGGCUGUCGGAACAAACGGUGGAGCGGUGAAAUGCGUAGAUAUCGUCUGGAACGCCAAAGGUGAAAACAGCUCGCUGGGGUUGUGCUGACGCUGAGACACGAAAGCCAGGGGAGCGAACGGG